CGUGGUGUAGCUCCAUAGUAGAGCAGGUGCCUGGCAAGCAUGAGCCUAUGGGUUCAAUCCCCAGCACCAAAA
rnacentral:tRNA from 1 species